CUCGUAGGCGGUUUGUUAAGUCGGAUGUGAAAGCCCCGGGCUCAACCUGGGAACUGCAUUCGAUACUGGCAAACUAGAGUAUAGAAGAGGCAAGUGGAAUUCCAGGUGUAGCGGUGAAAUGCGUAGAUAUCUGGAGGAACAUCAGUGGCGAAGGCGACUUGCUGGUCUAAUACUGACGCUGAGGAGCGAAAGCGUGGGGAGCGAACAGGAUUAGAUACCCUGGUAGUCC
rnacentral:rRNA from 1 species